rnacentral:rRNA from 1 species
GACGAACGCUGGCGGCGUGCUUAACACAUGCAAGUCGAACGGAAAGGCCCUGCUUGCAGGGUACUCGAGUGGCGAACGGGUGAGUAACACGUGGGUGAUCUGCCCUGCACUUCGGGAUAAGCCUGGGAAACUGGGUCUAAUACCGGAUAGGAGCCCUUUUUAGUGUGAUGGUUGGAAAGUUUUUUCGGUGUAGGAUGAGCUCGCGGCCUAUCAGCUUGUUGGUGGGGUAAUGGCCUACCAAGGCGGCGACGGGUAGCCGGCCUGAGAGGGUGGACGGCCACAUUGGGACUGAGAUACGGCCCAGACUCCUACGGGAGGCAGCAGUGGGGAAUAUUGCACAAUGGGCGGAAGCCUGAUGCAGCGACGCAGCGUGGGGGAGGACGGGCUUCGGGUUGUAAACUCCUUUAGCUAGGGACGAAGCUUUUUGUGACGGUACAUAGAUAAGAAGCACCGGCUAACUACGUG